UACAGAGGUCCCAAGCGUUGUUCGGAUUCAUUGGGCGUAAAGGGUGCGUAGGCGGCGCGGUAAGUCUGGUGUGAAAUCUCGGGGCUUAACUCCGAAACUGCAUUCGAUACUGCCGUGCUUGAGGACUGGAGAGGAGACUGGAAUUUACGGUGUAGCGGUGAAAUGCGUAGAUAUCGUAAGGAAGACCAGUGGCGAAGGCGGGUCUCUGGACAGUUCCUGACGCUGAGGCACGAAGGCCAGGGGAGCAAACGGG
rnacentral:rRNA from 1 species